GCCACCGUGCUGGCCAUCGUCGCCUACGCCGUUCUCCUCGACUCCGCCGAGUCCAAGAAAGUCAAAGAGAAUGGGAGACGACUACAGCGAAGACGGCCCCCACUCGAAAGAUUAACGUCUACUGCAAGGACAAGGACUGCCUCG